CUACGUGCCAGCAGCCGCGGUAAUACGUAGGUGGCAAGCGUUGUCCGGAAUUAUUGGGCGUAAAGCGCGCGCAGGCGGAUAGGUCAGUCUGUCUUAAAAGUUCGGGGCUUAACCCCGUGAUGGGAUGGAAACUGCCAAUCUAGAGUAUCGGAGAGGAAAGUGGAAUUCCUAGUGUAGCGGUGAAAUGCGUAGAUAUUAGGAAGAACACCAGUGGCGAAGGCGACUUUCUGGACGAAAACUGACGCUGAGGCGCGAAAGCCAGGGGAGCGAACGGGAUUAGAUACCCCGGUAGUCCUGGCCGUAAACGAUGGGUACUAGGUGUAGGAGGUAUCGACCCCUUCUGUGCCGGAGUUAACGCAAUAAGUACCCCGCCUGGGGAGUACGACCGCAAGGUUGAAACUCAAAGGAAUUGACGGGGGCCCGCACAAGCGGUGGAGUAUGUGGUUUAAUUCGACGCAACGCGAAGAACCUUACCAGGCCUUGACAU
rnacentral:rRNA from 1 species